rnacentral:misc_RNA from 1 species
UCCGGUUUAUCACCGGCAGUCCCCUUAGAGUUCCCAGCUUUACCUGAUGGCAACUAAGGGCGAGGGUUGCGCUCGUUACGGGACUUAACCCAACAUCUCACGACACGAGCUGACGACAGCCAUGCAGCACCUGUCUCUAGGUUCCCGAAGGCACUCCCUCAUCUCUGAAGGAUUCCUAGGAUGUCAAGAGUAGGUAAGGUUCUUCGCGUUGCAUCGAAUUGAACCACAUGCUCCACCGCUUGUGCGGGCCCCCGUCAAUUCUUUUGAGUUUCAACCUUGCGGCCGUACUCCCCAGGCGGAGAACUUAACGCGUUAGCUUCGACACUAAAGAAUUGCUUCUCUAACGUCUAGUUCUCAUCGUUUAGGGCGUGGACUAC